GACGAACUGUCCUAACGUUGUUCGGAAUCACUGGGCUUAAAGGGCGCGUAGGCGGUCCGACAAGUCAGGGGUGAAAUCCUGCAGCUUAACUGCAGAAGUGCCUUUGAUACUGUCGGUCUUGAGGGAGAUAGGGGUGUGCGGAACUUCCAGUGGAGCGGUGAAAUGCGUUGAUAUUGGAAGGAACGCCGGAGGCGAAAGCGGCGCACUGGAUCUCUUCUGACGCUGAGGCGCGAAAGCUAGGGGAGCAAACGGG
rnacentral:rRNA from 1 species